rnacentral:lncRNA from 1 species
CAUUACUUCAGAAGAUGAGGAGGACUGGGAAGUGAGCUGUGUUUUCCAACAUGCAUUGCAAAUGGUGUUGAUUGCUGACAGAAACUCAGAGGGUGGGAGA